ACGUAGGGGGCAAGCGUUAUCCGGAAUCAUUGGGCGUAAAGAGCGCGUAGGCGGCCUGUUAAGUGGGGGGUCAAAGCCAAUGGCUCAACUAUCGUAAGCAUUGCGAACUGGAAGGCUUGAGUGCAGGAGAGGAAAGUGGAAUUCCUAGUGUAGCGGUGAAAUGCGUAGAUAUUAGGAGGAACACCAGUGGCGAAGGCGACUUUCUGGACUGUAACUGACACUGAGGCGCGAAAGCGUGGGGAGCAAACAG
rnacentral:rRNA from 1 species